rnacentral:rRNA from 1 species
GAUGAACGCUGGCGGCGUGCCUAAUACAUGCAAGUCGAGCGAACAGACGAGGAGCUUGCUCCUCUGACGUUAGCGGCGGACGGGUGAGUAACACGUGGAUAACCUACCUAUAAGACUGGGAUAACUUCGGGAAACCGGAGCUAAUACCGGAUAAUAUAUUGAACCGCAUGGUUCAAUAGUGAAAGACGGUUUUGCUGUCACUUAUAGAUGGAUCCGCGCCGCAUUAGCUAGUUGGUAAGGUAACGGCUUACCAAGGCAACGAUGCGUAGCCGACCUGAGAGGGUGAUCGGCCACACUGGAACUGAGGCACGGUCCAGACUCCUACGGGAGGCAGCAGUAGGGAAUCUUCCGCAAUGGGUGAAAGCCUGACGGAGCAACGCCGCGUGAAUGAUGAAGGUCUUCGGAUCGUAAAACUCUGUUAUUAGGGAAGAACAAAUGUGUAAGUAACUAUGCACGUCUUGACGGUACCUAAUCAGAAAGCCACGGCUAACUACGUG